AACCAGCACCUCAAGUGGUCAGGAUGAUUAUUGGGCCUAAAGCAUCCGUAGCCUGUUCUGUAAGUUUUCGGUUAAAUCCAUAAGCUCAACUUAUGGGCUGCCGAAAAUACUGCAGAACUAGGGAGUGGGAGAGGUAGACGGUACUCGGUAGGAAGGGGUAAAAUCCUUUGAUCUAUUGAUGACCACCUGUGGCGAAGGCGGCUUACUGGACUAACACUGACUCUGAGGUACGAAAGCGUGGGUAGCAAACAGG
rnacentral:rRNA from 1 species